UGGAUGAGGAGGUUUGCUACCUUUUCUCAAAGGUUGGGGAUGAAUAGUGAUAUUACCUAAAAUUAAACAUUGGUACCUUCUUUAUUCAGUCAAAUCACAUACGUAAACUCAAUUAAAUUCUCCGUUCUUUCGUAGUUCGAGUAUUGGACUAAGUAGAUUCAUUCACAGCAAAAGGAAGUGUUAAUCGUCAGUUCGUCACAAUCUUUCCUCGGUGAUUUGAUCUUCUGGGUGUCUUUGCAUCACAGGAAUCUAUCAUCUCGCAGUCAUAAAAGUGACCUUGAAAGGUAUUACAGAGUUUUGAUAUAUGUACCAUACAUCUGAAGACAAGUAUGCUUUUGUAGUUUAUGAUUACCCUGCAAGUGCUGAGAAAGCUAGGAGAAAACUUGAAGGUAAAUGAAUAUGUGGAGAACCAUGAACUCUUUCAUGUUAAAAAGGGCAGCCCAGAGCUGUACGUAAAUUUGGCAGAGGUGAUAGUAUUAUGAACAACAGCACAGAAGUCAGAAGGUACUCAAUUUGCGAAAGAAAACGAUGAUCAGUUGGGUUCAAAUUGUCUACGAGGAGGUUGUGGAUCCCUCAAAUGAAUAUCUUUUAGGAAAUUGGAUUGUUGACUCUUUGGCCAACAUGAAUUUUGCUAUAGUGAUGAAAGGAGUAGGAUAAACACCAUAAUGCAUCUUAUUUGAGUAGUUCACGCAUCACAAAAAAGUUUCCAGGGGGAACUUAAAUUGAUCAUCAAGUAACUCUGAAUCAUCCUGACAGUCCAACAUCCCCAAAGGCUUGCUCCAGAGUGGGUUGCAAACUGCUCAAGUAUCCCUAAGGGGUGAAGAGGCUUGCAAGGCUGCCCCAGAUAUUAAUGUUGUUCUUUUGCGGCAUCACAUAAGCCACAGGGAGCCAUCCACCUCUGAAGAAAUCGUCAAAGAUCUGUGAGACAUGGAGAUUCUUCUCCCCCAGCUUGGUUAACUCCCAUAAGUAGGAGAAAGUAUUACAUGGAGGGGAAGCAAAAUUGAAGGGAUAUUGGAAGUCUAAAUGGACAUUGCUUAAAGAAAGCUUGGGGUUUCUCUUUGUAUUCAUCCCCAGCCAGAUUACACUGCAUCAUGAUCACAGUCACCUUUAAGAUCUUCAAGUUCUUUGUUUGAUCCCUUCACAUUCAAAGUUCAAAGCAAUGCCAUCCAGGAUAGUUCCCUGUCAUCCCAUUCAACAUUUUCAACUUCACACCAUUCUGGAUCUAAAACCCCUGACUCAUGGCUGACAUCAAGGUCCAGAGUUUAAUAAAGAUUUAUCUGCAAAGGAAACACCAGUAAGAAUAGGUGCUGGUGACUUUAAACCUGAAGAUAUUACAGCCACAAUAGUAAAUUAAUGUGAAACAGGACCCUUUAAAUUGGAAAGAGGAAGAAUGAAAAAAUGCUCUCUCCCUAAAGUAUGAUGCACACUAUCAUUUUGUCUGCAGAGGAUCGGAUAAGUAUAUUGACUGUCAGAUAAUGGUGAUCAUUCUUUAGUGAAUAUGUUAUUGCACAGUGUGAAAAAGAUGAUGGACCUCAAAAUGAGGAUCUCAUGGCACAACAAACAGUGGCACCGGAGUCCAACCUCAAGGAAAUAUAAGUAGUUUUAAAACACUGCAGCGUGGAGCAUCCUGAGCAAAAUGAAAAGGAUCUAUCUGUGGAAAUUUGGUUCUACUCGCUUUUGGCCUUGGGAGAUAGUAUACUACAGGAGACUGAAAAGAGUUAUAGUUCAACUGAGAAUUAUGCACUGAGAAUAGCUUGGAAUAAAUGGAUUGUUAUUAAUCAAAGUCGAGUUAUUUAAGUUGAAUAAUCAAUUUGACAGUUCAUUGUUCAAUUAUUAGAAUUCCAAGGAUCAAACUGAGGCGAAAUUUGUAUUAAUAGAAAAUUAAAGAAUCGAAAAGCUUCUAAAACUAACAGGGUAAAUCAAGCAGGCUAAAUAUUAUGGAGUAGUUACCAAGUAAGUCCUAUGGAGAUUCUUUAUAUUUUGUUGUAUGCAAAAUAAAUGCAUUGCAUAAAUGAUUUCUGUAA